rnacentral:lncRNA from 1 species
AAAAUUGGAGGGGGGUCUUAUUCGUGGGAUACCCUCUUCAUAGGGAUUAGUCUCGAAUCCUUUCAUAACUCCAGGGAUUUACCCUGAGUAAUCAAAAAAAAAAAAAAAAAACAACGAGAACUCAAGCUCUUUUGAGCUGAGGCAAUAUUGUACAUGUUUGAGUUAUGUGGUUUGGAAUAAGUGUUUCUUCUUCCGGUUUCUACUGGUUGUUUCGCGAUUUUUCUUUAUCAUGUUUCUCUUGUAUACAUAGG